rnacentral:rRNA from 1 species
GAUAAACGCUGGCGGCGUGCUUAACACAUGCAAGUCGAACGAAGUUUUUCUUUCGGGAGAAACUUAGUGGCGGACGGGUGAGUAACGCGUGGGUAACCUGCCCUGUACAGGGGGACAACAGCUGGAAACGGCUGCUAAUACCGCAUAAGCCCUUAGCACUGCAUGGUGCAUAGGGAAAAGGAGUAAUCCGGUACAGGAUGGACCCGCGUCUGAUUAGCCAGUUGGCAGGGUAACGGCCUACCAAAGCGACGAUCAGUAGCCAAUCUGAGAGGAUGUACGGCCACAUUGGGACUGAGACACGGCCCAGACUCCUACGGGAGGCAGCAGUGGGGAAUAUUGCACAAUGGAGGAAACUCUGAUGCAGCGACGCCGCGUGAGUGAAGAAGUAUUUCGGUAUGUAAAGCUCUAUCAGCAGGGAAGAAAAUGACGGUACCUGACUAAGAAGCACCGGCUAAAUACGUGCCAGCAGCCGCGGUAAUACGUAUGGUGCAAGCGUUAUCCGGAUUUACUGGGUGUAAAGGGAGCGUAGGUGGCAAGGCAAGCCAGAAGUGAAAACCCGGGGCUCAACCGCGGGAUUGCUUUUGGAACUGUCAUGCUAGAGUGCAGGAGGGGUGAGCGGAAUUCCUAGUGUAGCGGUGAAAUGCGUAGAUAUUAGGAGGAACACCGGAGGCGAAGGCGGCUCACUGGACUGUAACUGACACUGAGGCUCGAAAGCGUGGGGAGCAAACAAGAUUAGAUACCCUGGUAGUCCACGCGGUAAA